rnacentral:lncRNA from 1 species
GUUCUGAGGAGCGAUAUCAACCAAUCAAAUUUUCGACGAAUCGAAGCACUGAUUGUUUAUAUUUAAAGGCACGGUGUAUUGACACUGGUCAAAUAGUUUUCGAUAAUUCGUCAACUAUAGCUGAUUCUACUUGUCGAUGUGAUUACACAAGAAAUUAUGCGUUUAUAUCAUCACCACUAAAUCCAUGUUUCUGCACACCGUCUGUGGAGGAUUGUUCAUGUUACAUUAAACAGUGCCCCAACAAUACCAUGUUAUCUCCUGGUAAGUCAGUAUUUAUGAUUUUGUCUUUUAAUUCUGUGCUUUCAUGACCAAUUUGACAGUUGGGUUGAUAAGUAUUUUAUAAUUCAUUAGGUAAUUAUGAAGACAUGUACAUUCAUAUGAUAUGCAUAUGUCUUUUUAGUUUUUUAUUUUAUCAAAAUAAUUAGUGUCGGCACCUUUGUGUCUCUUCCUCCUUUUUUGAACAACUAGGGCACAUAUAUGGUGUAGACUGCCAGUAUUCAUACUUUAAAAAAGGAUCGAGAUAUGGUACGAUUGCCAAUAAAAGAUUUGAAUAAUUACAAGUCACCAUAAGGACUUCAGGUGUAACAAAUCCUUAUAUUGCCACUUUUUAUAGAAAAUUUGAAAGAUUGGCAGAUGACAAAAUGUAAAAUAAUCUUAAAAAAUCAAACGGCCUGACACUACUAGAGUAACAAGUAUGAAUUACGGUAGCAUUGGUAGAAGGCAUCCAACAAUAAUAACUGGAUUUCAGGCUCCUUGCUUUGGUCAGAAAAAACAGAAUUCAUUUGCAAUAAUGUUGAUGACAAAGUGUUCAACGUAAGUUAUUUAAUCACAUGGUGUUGUCAUUAUUUUCGAUCUAUGAGUUUAACUGUCCCUCUGGUAUUUAAUCUCACUAUAUGAAUCAUAGUCGCAAUUUAUACAUUAGAUUUUUGUGUUCCACCUUUAUUAGUUCUAGUUUCAUUAGUAAGUCUUGAUUUGGCGAAAUCCAUUUCUGUAGUUAUGAAUCAUCAGCUGGUUUCAUGUGUGUUUUAAAAAAAAAUGUAUAUACUAGUCCAUGUCUUGUUGAAGAUCUUGUGGAUGGCUCUUUAUUAUGGUUUGAUUCUCAUUUAAGAAUACAUCGAUUAUAUUUUCUUUGAUACGUUAUGUGUAAACAGCAGAAUGUUUUACCUCUCAAUAAUUCUGCACGAGGAGUUUGACUGUAAUCUAACAGGUGGUCGAAAUAUUGAGGAGGUUAAUUGUGUAUUAUCGGUUUCAGAUUAUGAAUGCGUGUAUUUGAAUUCAACGGAAACAAUUUUUAAAUGCAGUCCUGUUUUUUAUAU